rnacentral:rRNA from 1 species
AGAGUGAACGCUGGCGGCAGGCCUAACACAUGCAAGUCGAGCGGCAGCGCGGGCAGCAAUACCUGGCGGCGAGCGGCGGACGGGUGAGGAAUACAUCGGAAUCUGCCUUGUUGUGGGGGAUAACGUAGGGAAACUUACGCUAAUACCGCAUAAGACCGUAAGGUGAAAGCGGGGGAUCGAAAGACCUCGCGCGACAAGAUGAGCCGAUGUCGGAUUAGCUAGUUGGUGAGGUAAUGGCUCACCAAGGCGACGAUCCGUAGC